UACCCCCAGGGGAAGUCGAAUCCCCGUUGUCUCC
rnacentral:tRNA from 1 species